UACGUAGGGAGCAAGCGUUGUCCGGAAUCAUUGGGCGUAAAGCGCGCGUAGGUGGCCCCAUAAGUCCGCUGUGAAAGUCAAAGGCUCAACCUUUGAAAGCCGGUGGAUACUGUGGGGCUAGAGUACGGAAGAGGCGAGUGGAAUUCCUGGUGUAGCGGUGGAAUGCGCAGAUAUCAGGAGGAACACCAAUAGCGAAGGCAGCUCGCUGGGACGUUACUGACACUGGAGGCGACGAAGGC
rnacentral:rRNA from 1 species